CCAGUAGGUCUUAGUAGACGGUGCUUCGGUGCCGUCGAAAGGUCCGAAAGACGGUGGCUUUCGUCAUCGUGUUGGCUUGAUGAAAAUGCGCGCACCCGGUUGAGGGCCUUUCUUGACAUUUUGUUGACAUGAUGAUGCAAGAUGGUUGUCGGCAAGUAGGUCUCAGUAGGUGGUGCUUUAAGAGCUGCUGAAAGGUUCGAACGUUGGUGGUCUAUGUUGAUGUGUCGGCUUAAUGGAAAGAUGGGCGGGCGUUCCAAU
rnacentral:lncRNA from 1 species